AGUGAACGCUGGCGGUAGGCCUAACACAUGCAAGUCGAACGGCAGCACGGUAAGAGCUUGCUCUUACGGGUGGCGAGUGGCGGACGGGUGAGGAAUACAUCGGAAUCUACUUUUUCGUGGGGGAUAACGUAGGGAAACUUACGCUAAUACCGCAUACGACCUACGGGUGAAAGCAGGGGAUCUUCGGACCUUGCGCGAUUGAAUGAGCCGAUGUCGGAUUAGCUAGUUGGCGGGGUAAAGGCCCACCAAGGCGACGAUCCGUAGCUGGUCUGAGAGGAUGAUCAGCCACACUGGAACUGAGACACGGUCCAGACUCCUACGGGAGGCAGCAGUGGGGAAUAUUGGACAAUGGGCGUAAGCCUGAUCCAGCCAUACCGCGUGGGUGAAGAAGGCCUUCGGGUUGUAAAGCCCUUUUGUUGGGAAAGAAAAGCAGCAGGUUAAUACCCCGCUGUUCUGACGGUACCCAAAGAAUAAGCACCGGCUAACUCCGUG
rnacentral:rRNA from 1 species